CGGACGGGUGAGUAAUGUCUGGGAAACUGCCUGAUGGAGGGGGAUAACUACUGGAAACGGUAGCUAAUACCGCAUAACGUCGCAAGACCAAAGAGGGGGACCUUCGGGCCUCUUGCCAUCAGAUGUGCCCAGAUGGGAUUAGCUAGUAGGUGGGGUAACGGCUCACCUAGGCGACAAUCCCUAGCUGGUCUGAGAGGAUGACCAGCCACACUGGAACUGAGACACGGCCCAGACUCCUACGGGAGGCAGCAUG
rnacentral:rRNA from 1 species